rnacentral:rRNA from 1 species
CCUACGGGAGGCAGCAGUAGGGAAUCUUCCACAAUGGGCGAAAGCCUGAUGGAGCAACGCCGCGUGGGUGAAGAAGGUCUUCGGAUCGUAAAACCCUGUUGUUAGAGAAGAAAGUGCGUGAGAGUAACUGUUCACGUUUCGACGGUAUCUAACCAGAAAGCCACGGCUAACUACGUUCCAGCAGCCGCGGUGAUACGUAGGUGGCAAGCGUUAUCCGGGUUUAUUGGGCGUAAAGGGAACGCAGGCGGGACUUUAAGUCUGAUUUGAAAGCCCUCGGCUUAACCGGAGUAUGGCAUUGGAAACUUGGAGACUUGAGUGCCGAAGAGGAGAGGGGAAUUCCAGGUGUAGCGGUGAAAUGCGUAGAUAUUAGGAGGAACACCAGUGGCGAAGGCGGUUUACUGGACUGUAACUGACGCUGAGGCUCGAAAGCCUGGGGAGCAAACAGGAUUAGAUACCCCAGUAGUC